rnacentral:lncRNA from 1 species
AGCCAUCCUCAUACAAGAUAACCAUCCCCAGGAAGAUAAGGAUGGGAUUUUGUAAUUUGGCCCUAUAAAAGCCAGCGAAGGGCUAGAACUGAGAGAGAAACGGAUGACAUACCAGAGAAACAAAAACCAGAGGAGAGGAGAAAGACCAGAGAAAGACAACGAAAACAGAAACAGAGAGGAAGGUUGGAGUAUUCUCCAAUUCAACCAGAGAGGAAGGGAGGAGUAUGCUCCAAUUCAACCAGCGAUACAGGCGCCAUCAAGCUUCGUCUCCAGCAACAGUACCAGGUAAGCUCUUCUUCCCCCGUUUGCAUUUUAAUUAACUUGUCACUGUGAAAGUAUGCGUGUAUUAUAAUUCACGCAUGCAGACCGUUGCCAGCUUGGUCACUGGGCUGUGCAGCCGGGUGGGCUGGAUCACGCCCAGCCUGUCUAUAUAUAAAAAAACAGAGAGAGAAUUGUUGAGAUAGCCUGGGUCUCAGGCCCAACCGACCCACUCUUUGGGAUAAGGGUAUGUUUAGUAAAAACAUCUUUAUAUCUUUUUUUUUUAUUUUUUUUAUUUUAAUAUCUAACCAAACAUGCUUUUUAAGAUAUCAGAAAAUUUUAAAAAAAUUUGGGGACCCCUUUGAAUUUAUUUGUGAGUCCCUCGUAUAUUUUUUGAUGACUUCACUUAUUAUUGGGUUGUAGAAUUAUACAGCAAAAAGCGAAUCUGGUAUAAAAUUAUAUCUGUCUUUUCCGUUUUUUUCUUUUCUCUUUUUUUAAAAAAGAAGAAAAUCUCCCUCAUUGCAAAAAUAAUAAUUGAAAAAAGUAUGUUUUUCUUUUAAUUCAAAAUUUUACUUGUUUAUUCACUAGCGUCAGAGUCAUGAAUAUUCGUAUUCACUAAUGUCAAAAUUAGGAAUAUCAUCAAUGUUCACUAAUGCCAUAAUUAAAAAUCAAAACACUAGAAUUGAAAAUUAUUCUGAACCCCAAUAUUCACUAGCGCCCAAGUUAAGAAUACCUUACUCUUUUACAUAAUAUUUACUAACACCAGGGUUAGAAAUAUUUGUAGUUGAAUAUUCAAAUGACACCAGAGUCAGGAUGUAAAACCCCGAGAACUAAUUUAUACAAAAAAAAUCAAUUAAUUAAAAAUAUUAUGAAAGACAAAAGAAGUAUGACUCAAAUUGUGAAAAAGAAAAAGAAAUGGGGUCAAGGUGUAAUUAAAAAGAAUGGGGUUAUAAAUACCACAUUUCUUUCUCAUUGAAGCCAGAGGCGUGAACACCAAAAGAGGGGAGAAAUUCCAGAUUUUUCCAUAAAACAUUUGAGAGAGAAACACCAAAGUUUGUCAAAAUUUUACAUGUCUUAGAUAGGUUUGUAGGGAAAACACCAUUUGGCAAGAGAAAUUGUACGAAAACAAGUGUAGAAAUUGUGAGGAGAAAAGGGGAGAGGGCUGGCUGCAUGCAAGGAGGGAGGGGUUGAAAUUUUUCAACCAAUUAAGAAGUGAAAUUCAGAUUAUCCCCAAGUAAGGAGUCCUAAACUCGAUUAUUCGAAUUAUCUUGAAUUCGAUUAGAAAUUGUGUAGGUAUCCUGAAUUAAAAUUACGGUUCUUGAAUAAAAUUUGGGGGAAAUGUAAAAUUGUCUGGAUUUGGAACAAUUAGAAUAUUGUAGGUUUCUUUGGAUGUAAAUUUAUGUAAGAACAACAAAGAAAAGCCAAUGGGUAAAGGAUCCAAGGUGGCCAGCCACUAGAGGAGCAAGUGAGAGGGGUAGAAUUUAUGAUUUUCUUUAUUAAUUGCUUAUGUUGUGUUGUUGUAAUGUGAAUAAUAGCUAGAAAGGAUAAUUAUCAUAGAUGAAGGAGAAGGGAACCCUAGGUUCCCUUGGGCUAAGUUUCGGCCAAGACAAGAUUAAAAAAGGGGAGGGGGAGUUUUGAGAUUUCAUAUGAUAAUGAUGAGUGAAUUAGGUGUAGCGGAAAGUUUACUAAUAAGGGAAACAAGAUAACUUGAUGAUAAGGGAACUUCGUAAAUUGAUUUCAUGGGUUAUGUGGGGUAGAAAGGAGUUUAUGGGCCAUAUGUAUGGCCUGUGGCUUGUCUUAGGAGGAGUUGCGAAAUGUAGGAAAAUCAUAGAAGUAAUAAUGUGAAUGUUUCUUGAAAUAGUUCUUGACCACCUUACAUCAAAAGGGAAAAUUAGCAUAAACGACCUUCGGAGGUCAUAUUUAUAAGGGUUGCCAUACAUGUGACGUGGAAAUAGUUGUCUCGAGAGAGGAAAGGGAAUGGAGAUAAUUAGAGAUUCAUUUAAACCUUUGAUGAAAACUAGACAGCUUUGUUGCCUUAAUUCCAAAGAGGAUUCGGGCCCAAAAAUGACAAAAUUCAGGGAAGGAUUCUCAUAGAAGUUAUAGCCAGGGAUGUUAGCUUUCCAAUGAGUCUAACUUCGCUUAAUUUGGAGCUUUAGAACUCUAGAUAUAGAUAAAUAUCUGAGGAGAGGUCAAGCUGCCACCUCUGCUGACAGAUUCGGCAAAUUGGCAAAACAGGAAAAUUUAGUUAUGUUAGGGGCAGAAUAUGGUUUCCUUUCCUGGAAAAAUAUUUAGCGUCAUGUCUUGAUGUUUAAAAGAAAAUAAGCCAUGUUUGGAAUUGAAUUUGUGAUGUUAGUUAUGAAUUGAUAAUGAAGCAUAAUUUUAAGAGAUGUAAUGGAAACACAAAUGUAAGGAAGCAGUUGUAAAAGGGGGAAUAAACGUUGUUGUUAUUAUUAUUGUUAUUUUACGAAAUGUGACUUGAGUAAGAAAUAAUAUAGUAUGUUUAUGGAUUCAGGAGGAAUCGUAGGAGGGGC